UACGUAGGGUGCAAGCGUUAAUCGGAAUUACUGGGCGUAAAGCGUUGCGCAGGCGGUUUUGUAAGUCUGUCGUGAAAGCCCCGGGCUCAACCUGGGAAUUGCGAUGGAGACUGCAAGGCUUGAAUCUGGCAGAGGGGGGUAGAAUUCCACGUGUAGCAGUGAAAUGCGUAGAGAUGUGGAGGAACACCGAUGGCGAAGGCAGCCCCCUGGGUCAAGAUUGACGCUCGAUGCACGAAAGCGUGGGGAGCAAACAGG
rnacentral:rRNA from 1 species